UACGGAGGGUGCGAGCGUUGUCCGGAAUCACUGGGCGUAAAGGGCGCGUAGGUGGCUUGGUAAGCGUGCGGUGAAAGCCCGGGGCUCAACCCCGGGUCGGCCGUGCGGACUACCAUGGCUUGAGCACUGUAGAGGCAGGUAGAAUUCCGGGUGUAGCGGUGGAAUGCGUAGAGAUCCGGAAGAAUACCGGUGGCGAAGGCGGCCUGCUGGGCAGUGGCUGACACUGAGGCGCGACAGCGUGGGGAGCAAACAGG
rnacentral:rRNA from 1 species